CCAGUCUGUGACGGAGCUGAGGUCAGGCAGUCAGGGAAGCCCAGUCUGUGACGGAGCAGAGGUCAUGCAGCUAGGGAAGACCCGUCUGUGACGGAGCAGAGGUCAUGAGCUAGGAGAGACCAGUCUGUGACGGAGCAGAGGUCAGGCAGCAGGGAAGCCCAGUCGGUGACGGCGCAGAGCUGAGGUCAGGCAGUCAGGGAAGCCCAGUCUGUGACGGAGCUGAGGUCAGGCAGUCAGGGAACCCAGUCUGUGACGGCGCAG
rnacentral:lncRNA from 1 species